rnacentral:rRNA from 1 species
AUUGAACGCUGGCGGCAUGCCUUACACAUGCAAGUCGAACGGUAACGGGCCUUCGGGUGCCGACGAGUGGCGAACGGGUGAGUAUGUAUCGGAACGUACCUUUCAGUGGGGGAUAACGUAGCGAAAGUUACGCUAAUACCGCAUAUUCUGUGAGCAGGAAAGCAGGGGAUCGCAAGACCUUGCGCUGAUUGAGCGGCCGAUAUCAGAUUAGCUAGUUGGUGAGGUAAAGGCUCACCAAGGCGACGAUCUGUAGCGGGUCUGAGAGGAUGAUCCGCCACACUGGAACUGAGACACGGUCCAGACUCCUACGGGAGGCAGCAGUGGGGAAUUUUGGACAAUGGGGGCAACCCUGAUCCAGCCAUGCCGCGUGAGUGAAGAAGGCCUUCGGGUUGUAAAGCUCUUUCGGUCGGGAAGAAAUCGCAUGGGUUAAUACCCUGUGCGGAUGACGGUACCGGCAUAAGAAGCACCGGCUAACUACGUGCCAGCAGCCGCCGUAAGAC